rnacentral:rRNA from 1 species
UGGGGAAUAUUGCACAAUGGAGGGAACUCUGAUGCAGCGACGCCGCGUGAACGAAGAAGGCUUUCGAGUCGUAAAGUUCUUUUAUAUGGGAAGAUAAUGACGGUACCAUAAGAAAAAGCCCCGGCUAACUACGUGCCAGCAGCCGCGGUAAUACGUAGGGGGCUAGCGUUGUCCGGAAUCACUGGGCGUAAAGGGUUCGCAGGCGGAAAUGCAAGUCAGGUGUAAAAGGCAGUAGCUUAACUACUGUAAGCAUUUGAAACUGCAUAUCUUGAGAAGAGUAGAAGUAAGUGGAAUUUUUAGUGUAGCGGUGAAAUGCGUAGAUAUUAAAAAGAAUACCGGUGGCGAAGGCGGCUUACUGGGCUCAUUCUGACGCUGAGGAACGAAAGCGUGGGUAGCAAACAGG